CGCAUGUUUAUUUAAUAUAAUGGUUGUAUUAUUAAUAUUCAUGCAUUAAAAUUAAAAAAAAAAAAAUAUGUAUAUAUUUAUAUCCAUUUCCUUUAAAUUAAAGAGGCAAAAAUAUUAUAAAAGUUAGUGGUGGCAAAUAAUUACAAGAAUUGGCGGGGCAAAUCAAAGAAAAAAUCUAUAAUUAAAAAAGAAAAACAGUCGCAGUUAUUUAACCAAUUUAGUACAACAAAACUGAAGAGGGACAGUCACAGGAAGAAAUAGAAGACAUUAAUUAAGGAGCAAAAGAUUCUUUGAUUCGUUUACAUUAUUGGUCAUAUUGCCACUUAAAAUGUUAAAGAGUUCUGAUCUUUGCAAAAUUUGUCCAGAUGUUGUGGCAUGUUGUGGUGGCGCUGAUGAUGAUGUCGAUGUAGUUUGAUGUGACAUUGU